rnacentral:rRNA from 1 species
GAUCCUGCCGGACCCUACUGCUAUCGGGGUGGGACUAAGACAGGCGAGUUGAACGACUUCUAGCCAUGAUGAAGUCGUAGCAUACGGCUCAGUAACACGUGGCUAACCUACCCUUGAGACGGAGACAACCCCGGGAAACUGGGGCUAAUCCCAGAUAGAUGAGAACUCCUGGAACGGGUUCUCGUCCAAAAGGCGUCUAGGCCAUGCUUCUAGAUGUUGCUCAAGGAUGGGGCCGCGGCCGAUCAGGCUGUUGGUGAGGCAACGGCUCACCAAACCUAUAACCGGUACGGGCCGUGGGAGCGGGAGCCCGGAGAUGGGAACUGAGACAAGGUCCCAGGCCCUACGGGGCGCAGCCGUUGCGAAAACUUGUCAAUGCACGAAAGUGUGAACGGGCUACCCCGAGUGCUGUCCGCUGAGGAUGGCUUUUCUCUGCUGUUAGAAGGCGGGGGAAUAAGGAGAGGGCAAGUCUGGUGUCAGCCGCCGCGGUAAUACCAGCUCUCCGAGUGGUGGGGAUGUUUAUUGGGCUUAAAGCGUCCGUAGCCUGCCUUUCAAGUCUCUCGUUAAAUCCGGCGAUUCAAUCGUUGGACUGCGGGAGAUACUGUUAGGCUAGGGGGCGGGAGAAGCCGACGGUAUUUCCGGGGUAGGGGUAAAAUCCUAUAAUCCCGGGAGGACCACCAGUGGCGUAGGCGGUCGGCUAGCACGCGCUCGACGGUGAGGGACGAAAGCUGGGGGAGCAAACCGGAUUAGAUACCCGGAUAGUCCCAGCUGUAAACGAUGCGGGCUAGGUGUUGGGGUGGCCACGAGCCACUUCAGCGCCGCAGGGAAGCCAUUAAGCCCGCCGCCUGGGGAGUACGGCCGCAAGGCUGAAACUUAAAGGAAUUGGCGGGGGAGCACCACAAGGGGUGAAGCUUGCGGUUCAAUUGGAGUCAACGCCGGG